GGCGAGCGAAACGGCAGGAGGGCAAACCGAAGAGUUUACUCUUCGGGGUUGUAGGACUGCAAUGUGGACUCAAAGAUUAUAGAAGAAUGAUUUGGGAAGAUCAGCCAAAGAGAGUAAUAGCCUCGUAUUUAAAAUAGUCUUUGUACUUAGCAGUAUCCUGAGUACGGCGGGACACGUGAAAUCCCGUCGGAAUCUGGGAGGACCAUCUCCCAACCCUAAAUACUCCCUAGUGACCGAUAGUGAACCAGUACCGUGAGGGAAAGGUGAAAAGCACCCCGGGAGGGGAGUGAAAUAGAACCUGAAACCGUGUGCCUACAACAAGUUCGAGCCCGUUAAUGGGUGAGAGCGUGCCUUUUGUAGAAUGAACCGGCGAGUUACGUUAUGAUGCGAGGUUAAGUUGAAGAGACGGAGCCGUAGGGAAACCGAGUCUGAAUAGGGCGCCUUAGUAUCAUGACGUAGACCCGAAACCAUGUGACCUACCCAUGAGCAGGUUGAAGGUGCGGUAAGACGCACUGGAGGACCGAACCAGGGCACGUUGAAAAGUGCUUGGAUGACUUGUGGGUAGCGGAGAAAUUCCAAACGAACUUGGAGAUAGCUGGUUCUCUCCGAAAUAGCUUUAGGGCUAGCGUCGACAUUAGAGAUUCUUGGAGGUAGAGCACUGUUUGGGUGAGGGGUCCAUCCCGGAUUACCAAUCUCAGAUAAACUCCGAAUGCCAAUGAAUUAUGGUCGGCAGUCAGACUGCGAGUGCUAAGAUCCGUAGUCGAAAGGGAAACAGCCCAGACCACCAGCUAAGGUCCCAAAAUAAUUGUUAAGUGGAAAAGGAUGUGGGGUUGCACAGACAACUAGGAUGUUAGCUUAGAAGCAGCUAUUCAUUCAAAGAGUGCGUAAUAGCUCACUAGUCGAGUGACCCUGCGCCGAAAAUGUACCGGGGCUAAAACAAUUUACCGAAGCUGUGGAUACCUUUAUAGGUAUGGUAGGAGAGCGUUCUAUGUGUGAUGAAGGUAUACCGUGAGGAGUGCUGGAACGCAUAGAAGUGAGAAUGCCGGUAUGAGUAGCGAAAGACAGGUGAGAAUCCUGUCCACCGUAAGACUAAGGUUUCCAGGGGAAGGCUCGUCCGCCCUGGGUUAGUCGGGACCUAAGGAGAGACCGAAAGGUGUAUCCGAUGGACAACAGGUUGAUAUUCCUGUACUAGAGUAUGUAGUGAUGGAGGGACGCAGUAGGCUAACUAAAGCAGACGAUUGGAAGAGUCUGUCUAAGCAGUGAGGUGUGAAUUGAGUCAAAUGCUUAAUUCUAUAACAUUGAGCUGUGAUGGGGAGCGAAGUUUAGUAGCGAAGUUAGUGACGUCACACUGCCAAGAAAAGCUUCUAGCGUUUAACCAUACUCUACCCGUACCGCAAACCGACACAGGUAGUCGAGGCGAGUAGCCUCAGGUGAGCGAGAGAACUCUCGUUAAGGAACUCGGCAAAAUGACCCCGUAACUUCGGGAGAAGGGGUGCUGACUUUAAGUCAGCCGCAGUGAAUAGGCCCAAGCAACUGUUUAUCAAAAACACAGCUCUCUGCUAAAUCGUAAGAUGAUGUAUAGGGGGUGACGCCUGCCCGGUGCUGGAAGGUUAAGAGGAGUGCUUAGCGUAAGCGAAGGUAUGAAUUGAAGCCCCAGUAAACGGCGGCCGUAACUAUAACGGUCCUAAGGUAGCGAAAUUCCUUGUCGGGUAAGUUCCGACCCGCACGAAAGGCGUAAUGAUUUGGGCACUGUCUCAACGAGAGACUCGGUGAAAUUUUAGUACCUGUGAAGAUGCAGGUUACCCGCGACAGGACGGAAAGACCCCAUGGAGCUUUACUGCAGUUUGAUAUUGAGUGUCUGUACCACAUGUACAGGAUAGGUAGGAGUCUAAGAGAUCGGGACGCCAGUUUCGAAGGAGACGCUGUUGGGAUACUACCCUUGUGUUAUGGCCACUCUAACCCAGAUAGGUGAUCCCUAUCGGAGACAGUGUCUGACGGGCAGUUUGACUGGGGCGGUCGCCUCCUAAAAGGUAACGGAGGCGCCCAAAGGUUCCCUCAGAAUGGUUGGAAAUCAUUCGCAGAGUGUAAAGGUAUAAGGGAGCUUGACUGCGAGAGCUACAACUCGAGCAGGGACGAAAGUCGGGCUUAGUGAUCCGGUGGUUCCGUAUGGAAGGGCCAUCGCUCAACGGAUAAAAGCUACCCUGGGGAUAACAGGCUUAUCUCCCCCAAGAGUUCACAUCGACGGGGAGGUUUGGCACCUCGAUGUCGGCUCGUCGCAUCCUGGGGCUGUAGUCGGUCCCAAGGGUUGGGCUGUUCGCCCAUUAAAGCGGCACGCGAGCUGGGUUCAGAACGUCGUGAGACAGUUCGGUCCCUAUCCGUCGCGGGCGUAGGAAAUUUGAGAGGAUCUGCUCCUAGUACGAGAGGACCAGAGUGGACUUACCGCUGGUGUACCAGUUGUCUUGCCAAAGGCAUCGCUGGGUAGCUAUGUAGGGAAGGGAUAAACGCUGAAAGCAUCUAAGUGUGAAACCCACCUCAAGAUGAGAUUUCCCAUGAUUAUAUAUCAGUAAGAGCCCUGAGAGAUGAUCAGGUAGAUAGGUUAGAAGUGGAAGUGUGGCGACACAUGUAGCGGACUAAUACUAAUAGCUCGAGGACUUAUCCAA
rnacentral:rRNA from 1 species